rnacentral:rRNA from 1 species
ACUGACAGCCAUACCACCCAGAAUGUGCCAGAUCUUGUCUGAUCUCGGAAGCUAAGCAGGGCCGGGCCUGGUUAGCACUUGGAUGGGAGGAUUGUAAUUCUCUUUC